ensembl:snRNA U1 U1 spliceosomal RNA
AUAGCUACCUGGAAGAGGAGACACCGUGAUCGUGAAGGUGGUCUUCUCAGGACAAGGCUUAUCCAUUGCAUUCCAGAUGUGCUGACACCUGUGAUUUCCCCAAAUGUGGGAAACAUAACAGCAUAAUUUGUGGGAAACUCAAUAGCAUAAUAAAUGCAUUUGUAC